UCUAUUUAAACUUCAUAGAGCUGUAACUAGAAUAUUUAGGUUGGCCUUUUGAGCUUUACGUGUCUGCUACAGUAUUUAGCUUAUGCAGAAUAGUGUGCUCUUCAAGUAGUGAGUUGACGAAUGCUUGGUAGGUUAUGUUUAUCUUGCUGUUGUGUUUGACUACUCAUCUUACUUUGUGUUAUUUUUAGUGAUCAUACAACAAAA
rnacentral:lncRNA from 1 species